rnacentral:rRNA from 1 species
AUUGAACGCUGGCGGCAUGCUUUACACAUGCAAGUCGAACGGUAACAGGGAGCUUGCCCCGCUGACGAGUGGCGAACGGGUGAGUAAUGCGUCGGAACGUGCCGAGUAGUGGGGGAUAACGCAGCGAAAGUUGUGCUAAUACCGCAUACGUACUGAGGUAGAAAGUGGGGGACCUUCGGGCCUCACGCUAUUCGAGCGGCCGACGUCUGAUUAGCUAGUAGGUGAGGUAAAGGCUCACCUAGGCGACGAUCAGUAGCGGGUCUGAGAGGAUGAUCCGCCACACUGGGACUGAGACACGGCCCAGGCUCCUACGGGAGGCAGCAGUGGGGAAUUUUGGACAAUGGGCGAAAGCCUGAUCCAGCCAUGCCGCGUGUCUGAAGAAGGCCUUCGGGUUGUAAAGGACUUUUGUCGGGGAGGAAAUCCCCAGCGCUAAUACCGCUGGGGGAUGACAGUACCUGAAGAAUAAGCACCGGCUAACUACGUGCCAGCCGCCGCCGUAAUAC